rnacentral:tRNA from 1 species
UCCCUGGUGGCUCAAACAGUAAAGAAUCUGCCUGCAAUGUAGGAGACCCAGGUUCAAUCCCUGGGUUGGGAA